rnacentral:rRNA from 1 species
GACGUAGGGCGCGAGCGUUGUCCGGAUUUAUUGGGCGUAAAGAGCUCGUAGGCGGCUUGUUGCGUCAGCUGUGAAAACCCGCAGCUCAACUGUGGGCUUGCAGCUGAUACGGGCAGGCUUGAGUUCGGUAGGGGAGACUGGAAUUUACGGUGUAGCAGUGAAAUGCGUAGAGAUCGUAAGGAAGACCAGUGGCGAAGGCGAGUCUCUGGACAGUUACUGACGCUGAGGCACGAAGGCCAGGGGAGCAAACGGG